UUCCGUAGGUGAACCUGCGGAAGGAUCAUUAUUGAAAUGAAAUCUCUAGCAAGGGGCUGUCGCUGGGCACUAGCCAUGUGCACGCCUUUUGUCUAUUUCUUCUUCUUCUCCCUGUGCACCAUUUGUAGACUUUGCUUGUCUACGUAUCACAUAACCUUAUGAAUGCAUCGUUUGUAAUAUUAUAUAUGUAAUAUUAUACAACUUUCAACAAUGGAUCUCUUGGCUCUCGCAUCGAUGAAGAACGCAGCGAAAUGCGAUAAGUAAUGUGAAUUGCAGAAUUCAGUGAAUCAUCGAAUCUUUGAACGCAUCUUGCGCUCUUUGGUAUUCCGAAGAGCAUGCCUGUUUGAGUGUCAUUAAUCUCUAAAAACACUUUGUUUUUGAAUACUGGGAGUCAUUGCUGGCGGCUGUUAAAGCUUCAGCUCUCCUUAAAUUCCUUGAGGACGAAAUGUUGGUGUGUGAUAAUUGUCUAUGCCAAACAAGUAGUCCCUUGCUACUUUUUUUUAAUGAUUGACCUCAAAUCAAGCAAGACUACCCGCUGAACUUAAGCAUAUCAAUAAGCGGAGG
rnacentral:misc_RNA from 1 species